GUGGAGGAUGAAGGCCUUCGGGUUGUAAAUUCCUGUGGUNCGANGUAGUGUCGGACUAGAAAGCACCAGCAAACUACGUGCCAGCAGCGGCGGUAAUUCGUAGGGUGCGAGCGUUAUCCGGAUUUAUUGGGCGUAAAGGGUUUCGUAGGCGGUNUUCUAAGUUACUUGUUAAAGCCUUNUGCUUAACGGAAGAAAGGCGGGUAAUACUGGAGGACUAGAAGUGGUUCGGGGGUGCUGGAACUGGCGGUGGAGGGGUGAAAUCCGUUGAGAUCGCCAGGAACACCGAGGGCGAAGGCAGGCACCUAGGACCUCUUGACGCUGAGGAACGAAAGCUAGGGGAGCGAACCGGAUUAGAGACCCGGGUAGUCCUAGCCGUAAACGAUGAACGCUAGUUGCCUCGCCCUUUCUUUAGAAAGGGCAGGGUGGCGUAAGCUAACGCGUUAAGCGUUCCGCCUGGGGAGUACAGUCGCAAGGCUGAAACUCAAAGGAAUUGGCGGGGACCUGCACAACCAGCGGAGCAUGUGGUUCAAUUCGAUACGAAGCGUAGAACCUUACCUGGGCUUGGCAUGCACCUGCAUCCCGAUGGAAACGUCGGGAGCCUUCGAGGGUGGUGCACAGCUGCUGCAUGGUUGUCGUCAGCUCUAGUCGUGAGAUGUUCCCUUAAGUGGGGUAUAGAGCGCAACCCCUAUCCUAUGUUGUCUAUCAUGGGAGACUGCUCUUGAUAUAAUCAGGGGAGGAAGGUGGGGAUGACGUCAAAUCAGCAUGGCGCUUAUGUCCAGGGCUACACACAUCCUACAAUGGGUGAGACAAUGGGUUGCCAAGUCGUAAGGCGGAGCUAAUCCCAUCAAACUCAUCCUCAGUUCGGAUUGUGGGCUGAAAUUUGCCCACAUGAAGUUGGAGUUGGUAGUAAUCGCGGGUCAGCAGACCGCGGUGAAUACGUUCUCAGGUCUUGUACACACCGCCCGU
rnacentral:rRNA from 1 species